rnacentral:rRNA from 1 species
CGUGUAGGCGGUUUUAUAAGUCUGAUGUGAAAGCCCUGGGCUCAACCCGGGAAGUGCAUUGGAUACUGUAAGACUUGAAUACGGGAGAGGGCAGUGGAAUUCCUAGUGUAGGAGUGAAAUCCGUAGAUAUUAGGAGGAACACCGGUGGCGAAGGCGGCUGCCUGGACCGAUAUUGACGCUGAGACGCGAAAGCGUGGGUAGCAAACAG